GGCCCGGGGCCACUGCUGACCGGUGGGGCUGUUCUUGGGUCCCCAGGUAUGGGCAGCAGGCGCAGGGGUGCCCCACAGCCCACCCUCGACGCUCGUGUGGAAGAGCCAGAGCAGCUGGGACACCGGCGAGAGCUUCCGCACCGUCCUGGUCAAUGCCGAUGGGGAGGUGGGUGCUGGGGCUGGGGGGCUGGGGGCUGCAUCUCCUGGGCCCACUUCUGGUGGCAUCUGCCGGGGGGCCACAGUGAGGCUGAGCAUGGUGGCCCUCGCCUGGCACAGGAAGUGGCUGUGAGAGCGGUGAAGCAGACCUCAGGCCUGCAGGAGAACGGGGAGGAGGAGGAGGAGGAGGCUGAGUUCGGCGAGGAAGACCUUUUCCACCAACAGGGCGACCCUCGGACUGUGGCGAGGGGCUGCCGGCUGAUGUGACCAGCGACACCCUCGAGCACUCCUGCGGCCCUGGGGACUGUUUUGCUACCACGACUUUCAUUUGUCCUGGACACAUUUCUAGCCGGUGUACCGCCAGCACAUGGGAGGGAGGGAGGGAGGGAGGGAGGGUCUCUGCAGCGCUUUCCUGUGGGUGGCCGGUGGUGUCCCGGGACCAUCCCUUCGUCACCCCUUCUCUGCUGUCCAGGCUUUUGGUCCCUCCUCACCCCAAGUUGGCCACUAGGUUGAAUAUGAGGUUUGGGGCCAGGACCUGGAGGUCAGGAAGGUGGGGCUGCCGUUGGGGAUGGGGGUGAAGCGGUAUGGGGAUUCCAUAGCUGUGGGGUUUGUUCUUUUUAAAGCUGUUGCAGAACUAAAAUCAGAAACCGGUUCCGACCUGGUGUGGAGGUGUUGGGGUCACCGACCUGUCAUGAUUGGGUGGCACCCGGGGACCAAGAGCGGGGAGUGGCCUGGGCCCAGACACCUGUGGUGACUCCGGUUUCUGGAGCUGCUCCCACAGCUCUUGCCCUGACCCUGCAGGACCCACGGGCAGGAAAGGAGGGAGCUGGGGAAUGGGGACCUUGCCGUUCCAAGCCUUGUCACCAUGAUGCAAGGAGGGGACAAAGCCAGGGACAAGUGGCUUGUGUCUGGGACCCCCAGAGACGAGUGACACGGGGCGGCCCUGGGUCAGAGGGCUGUAGCCCCGCCCUGUCUGCUGGGUACACAGUAGGCAUAGCGAGAGCGCCACUUCCUCUGUGACCUCCUCCGAGGUUACAGUUCUCAGCCGACACCUAAACGCCAAGUGACCCCAUCUGGAUGGCUCCACAUUGCAGCCCAGUCUGGGCCCGGAUGACCCCUUCCUGCAGUCACCACUUACCCUGCCACGCAGAUACACAGAAGUUAUUUUUUUAACGGAUAUUUAUUUUUUUACAUAGGUCAGUACGCAGGUCACGGGGUGCUGCUCCAAGGGCUCCUGCCACCCUCCCCGCGGUGGCACAAGGACAGGGACCUGUCCAGGGAGCUCUGUGCCCCGAAUGGCCAACUUCCUUCAGAAAGUGCAGCUGGAGUCUUUCCGACACCCGCACUGAGCCAUGGCUGCCUGCUGUUCGAGGAAGGCGGCUGAGCAGCUCUCCCAGCUCUCCUGUCCCCCAGGGUCUGGCAUGCUCUCCUUGGGAGCUGCUCUUGGCAGGGAAGGAGCCAGUGACAGACGUCACCGCUGGCAGCCCUAGGGCCUGCUGCCACCCUUGCUGUUAGAAGUCCCUGGUCCCACACGGUGACCAAGGCCCGGGGUGUGGGCUGUUUUCCCGGGCGGAGGGAACCGUGCCUCACCCACAGCCUCUCACCAAGGUCGGGUAGGCUGCACUGCCCGAGUGGGGCUGCUGGAGCGCUUGGCCUGCCUGGCUUCAGACGCGACCUCCUCUACCCCGACCUGUCGCCCUUUUGGGGUCACUGGGUGCCCUUGCUGAGGAGAAGGUGGGGUGCCAGGUGGGCGGCUGGUGCUGGAGGUUGAUG
rnacentral:lncRNA from 1 species